rnacentral:rRNA from 1 species
UACGUAGGGUGCAAGCGUUAAUCGGAAUUACUGGGCUUAAAGCGUGCGCAGGCGGUUUUGUAAGUCUGUCGUGAAAUCCCCGGGCUUAACCUGGGAAUGGCGAUGGAGACUGCAAGGCUAGAGUUUGGCAGAGGGGGGUAGAAUUCCACGUGUAGCAGUGAAAUGCGUAGAGAUGUGGAGGAACACCGAUGGCGAAGGCAGCCCCCUGGGCCAAUACUGACGCUCAUGCACGAAAGCGUGGGGAGCAAACAGG